CUCCUAUCGCUCUUACCAGCAGCCAGAGGGAAGCUGUAAGCCAUAGAGGCCGGGGUUAGAGGAGUCAAAGAGAUUGCGAAUCCUUGGAGGUGUGUGUCUGCGUUGCCGCUGGCUGGGUUUGCAGCGGUGGGGGAUUGAGCCGGUCUCUGACAAGGCAGCGAAUCCAGAGCUGCUGUGCUGGGGAAUGCUCUGAAAUGCUCUCAGGCAGGCGCUGCAGUCAGGCUUCUUGAAUUGCUGCAGCUCGUCCCUGCGCCAGGCAGUGUUUCUCUUACGGCUGGUUGUGGUGUUAAACGCUACAGCAAUAAAGAGGCUUUGUUGUGGUCUCUGCAACGUUGCUUUUGCCUGGACUAGCAGUGGUCUUUUUGUUGGAAUAAAUGCUUUCCCUGGAAUUGGCUGUGGGGGCAUGUGUGGGCACGUGUGUGUGCCGCUGCUUGUGGGUAUGCAUUGGACACAGCUGUGAACAGGCAAUUCUGGUAGGUUCAGCACUUGCCCAAACUUGUUGCAUAUGAGUGCCAGAAUGAUGUGCUCGCUGUUGGGAAUGCUGGCUGCCGAUGUGAGCUUUUGAUAGGGCUUGAGUGAAAUUAAUAGAUGCUUUCCAGCCACAUGCAGAAAUUGUUGCUAACAUCUGGCCCAACGCUGUAUUUAUUCUCAGGAAGUGGUCAACUUUUGGUGCGUUGAAGGAAGAACCAAACUUAUAGAUCCUGACCAAUCUGGAGUGGGACAAACAGUUCCCUUCUCAUGCAGCAGGGACCGGCUCAUGUGCAACACUGUACUGUGUAAUGUAUGGAUGCAAGUCCUACAAUGGCCCAUUCCUUAGGAGCUUUGUAAUUUUCUUCCUUUGGCAUGGGUAUCCUGGUUUGUUCCACCUAAGUUUCAGGAGGAUCAGUCCUGCUCCAGGCUGGUUAUAGAAACACAGAAACCCCGCCCCCCCCCCCUUUCCCUCAUCUUCCUCCCAUUUAUGUCUCUAGUCCAGAAUCCCCAAAACCAAUGGAAUUAUAAUUUAGUGUUCAAAGAUUCAGGCUACCUUUAGGCUCUUGGGAACAGAAUGCUACCCUGUUAAUAGCUGCUGGGUAGUCAUUUCAAAACCAUUUCUUUUCAGCAGGCACUACCGUAGCAAAUUCCAGCAGAGAACGUGUUUCUGGCCUGCCGUGCCAGUAAUCCUAGAGCAGAGUCUUAUGUGUGACCUCUUUUGAAAUGCCAAAACUAUAUAUUUCUUAAAAUUCCAGACAGCACUAUUUCUAGGACUUGGCAUUUAGAGUGGCAACAGGGUUGUUUAUAGGAAGAGAAGGGAAAGGACAGUAGGAAGAUGUUGACCUAGCAGCCCUACAAACCUACCGCACUUAAUCCACUUAUCACUCUGAAUUCCUGAAGCAGAUAAAUGCUGAUAACAGUUAAAACACAUCACUGACAGGAGCAGCAUGUUCUGUCCUCUAGAAAUACAUCAUUGCUGGAAAUUGCAAAGCUGUGCUACCAUGGGGAUGAGUGCGAUAUAAGAGCUGAGGAGGCCCUCACUGUUCAGCAGAACUCUUCCUUAGGAAGGUAGCUAUUCCCUCCCUCCCCCAGCUAUCUUGAAGAUGCAAUUCGGGCCUGAGAAGUGCUGCUGAGCGUGGUUGUGACCCCACAUCCCCCAGAGCCACAGCUGCCUGAUCUGUGCCUACAUAUCUGAAAUACCAAGUAGGCCCCCAGUGUCUUGUUACCGCUCUUGAUUGUCCUUGCUGCUCAGCGUUAAGACCUGUGAGGAACAAUUUGCAGCUGAGACCAGCCCCGUGCAACUCAUAUCAGCGUGUCUUGGGGAGAAGAGUUCCUUUUGGCUAAUCUAAGCUAAACCUUCCCUGGAGGAGUGCAGCUGCUGCACCAGCCUUACAAAGCCACACAAAGCCACUUGCUUCUCUCUCCAUCUGCCAGGGCUCUCCUCAAGGCACUGGAGCCGGCCCCAGGCUCAGGGGGAUAGAGCAGCCACAGCUGUGCACAGCCUCCCUGUGUCAAUACUCCUUCCUCCUGAGAACCUGUCCCAGGUUGAACAGGGGGAAAACUGCUAUGAACCGAGGGUAGUUUUGGAGCAAGUCUUGCUCAUACAAACUCAACAGACAGGGUGAUUUUGAAUAUGCACAAUUUCCAGGCUCAUCUUGGUGUUAGAACAGACAGCACAGUCAUCCCCCACCAGUUUCCACAGUGCAGCACCCAGUGUGAGUGUGAACCCUUGAAGCUGCAGCAACGCGGUUUCUUGUGGUCACUGCAAAUGUCUCUCAAGAAGUCUAAAAGGACUUCUCUAGAGACAAGCAAAGACCUCUCAGACAUCGGGGUUUUUUGAGUCAGACACUGCUCAGCUGUUGCAUUGCAGAUGUCUUAGCUAAAAACAAGCUUUCAUUGAAAUCAAAGACUCUUCGUGAGUGUAGGCGGCAGGAUCCUCCCACAAAGAGAGGGUUUUCUUCUUCAAAGGGCUCUCCUUACAUUUCCCUACAAUAGAUUUUUUUAACGUUUUCCUGCAGUGUGAAGCCGAUUCAGAGCCAGCAUCGUGUGAAUCUGAAACAUCACAGCUGUUACGGAUGAAUGCACUGUCUGGUUGUUCUCACUUCUGCAAUACAAGUGCCUUUCUCUGAAGUAGCCAAACCUGUGGAAGGGAAGUGUUGGGCAGCAGGGAGUACAGCAGGGCUGUUUCUCUGUGCUGACUGCUGGUGCAGGUACUUGUUUUCCAUUUUGAAGGCAAAACAGGUGAUCUCAUGCUCAAGUGGUUGCAUAAAGAAUUAGUCUGAUAGUGCUCCUCUGUGGUACUGCAUGGUAGCCACCGGAAUAAGAGAAUUUGAAGUGCCCUUUUCCCAAAAUCUGGAUACUCAGUGCUGUGAGGUAUUCAGGGAUGGCUGUUCCGAAACAAACGUAUAAACAAAUUCCUACAAAACUAUGGUAAAAACCCUAAUGUGCCACUUUUAAGCUUGUCCGUUGCUCCAAAAUCAGUUGACUUGUUCAAUGAAUUUGACUACACUUACCUCAAAUGACCUCAAGCUGCAUCAUCCAAAGCAGGUUUUUCUCUGUAUUCCAGCCUGGGGCUUUGGUCACUACAGAAGGUGACGAAGUUUGCUAUAAAUGUGUGUGAUGUUUUAUGGUCAUUGGAAGACAAAGCUCUGUGCGUUCAAGAGCUUACAGUCUAAUCUUUUGACACCUGCUGAUACACAUAACACUGUGCUAAUAGUAUAGAGAAAUGAACCACAGUGCAGGGAGGAGUCUGACAGAAAAGCAGAAGAGGUUGCAUCUGCCAGGAACAGCUUGCCAAAGGCAGCGUGUGUCUGUCCCGCCUGUCCCUGCACAAAUGGGAGGGGAUCAAACAGCCUUUCAGGCGCAGGAAGACCUCAUGAAACACAAUCGCUUUUUGCCUUCUGGAUCUUCAUAUCUGGAUGCUUUCUUACAGCCUUUUGACCUUACCAUGGGCUCUAAUCUAAAAGUCAUCUUCCUGUUUCUUUGGUUGCUUCACUAUGGAGGGGGAGAUGUCAGUGUACAGCAGAAACCUCUAAUCCAGGUUGCACUACUUAAGGAAAAAGUAUCCAUCCCCUGUGAAGUCGUCUUCCCAUACACACCGAAAUACACCAGAUUUACAAUCUUCUAUUACUGGAUUAAUGCAUUGGACCAGGAAGUAUCCAUCUAUAGUAAGAAACAAGAAGUAGAUAUCCCCCCUGGAAAAGAGAAUAUGACUGCCAUCAUAUCUUACGAUUACGAAACAAAGCCGCUUGAAAGCAUCUCUUCUACUGGCACAUACUACUGCAAAGUCCAAUGGGAUGACAUCCAGAUAAAGGGAAAAGGAGUGUUUGUCCUUGUUAGAGGUGCAGGGUAUGCACAGACCUCUUAUGGGCGAGAAAUCCUCAUUACCCUUACCACUCUUCUGGCUGCACUGAGCAUCACUGCAACGGCUCUGCUAGUAUGGAAAAGAAAGAUAUUGUGUCCUAAAAAGAACCAGCUAAAUAUCAGGAGACAGAAGAUAGAAACUCGGCCUCCUUCAGCAACCCCACCACCACCUUCUCCUGUUUAUGAUUGCCUGGAUUCGCAGCAAGUUGAGGUCUAUUCUGUCCUCGAGAACAACACGAAGAUCCCAGAACAUAGAAAGAGUCCUCCAGGCAAGGUAAAGGAUGGGACUAUGUUCUUGGAGAAUUCUCUUUUAUUCUGGAAAACUCAGAGGCACCAUGGCAGUAGCAGGUAGUAAGUGUGUCUGUAAUUUCCCUACUUCCAGCCCCACUGAAAGAAGAAAAUGGGACGUGACAUCCACUCACCAGCUGGGCUGCACAUGUAGUGUAUCUUCCUGCUUCUGACAGAACCCCUUCUCCUUCAGUGUUACUGGUUCUGGCAGUCCUGGCCUCAUACAGAUGCGUUGCUGAAAGGUAUUGAGAAGUUUGGCACUGCUCCCUCUAAAUGGCCCAGACAUUCAUGGAGAGUUGGUCCGAUGCUGUCCCCCGCUAUUGCCCUUUCCAGAUUGUUUAGGCAGCCAAGAAGUCCUACAGUGUAGAGGAAUCUGUGCACUAGGGGCAGACCCAGGACACAAUUUUACUCUGGCAGUAAGUACCUGAGAGCCAUGUCCUGGUAAAAGAAGGUAAGAUGGUCUAAGCAGAGGCAGGAAAAGGCAGUAUGACUAUGUCUUCUAUCUUCUUGCUCAGCUGAGAGUUACGAGUUAGAGACGAGGAACUGAAUCCACUCAUAAUGAAAGUAGCAGCAACUUGGAAUAUGCAGGCAUGGAUCAAUUGUGGGGGCCAUAUGGUGUAGAAUAGAGGCUCACACAGCCCUGUACCCUGCCCUUAGCACAAGUAUCAGAUGUUUCUAGGGACAAAACCCCAGGGAACACUUCCUUCCUGCCCUCAGAUCUUUGUUGCUCAUUUCCCCUCCAGAAUUCUUAUCUACUUAAAAAGUAUUUUCACUCUUAUAACACUGGAAAAAUUUUAUGAAAAAUGUCUCCUGCUUCUCCCUCUAAUGUCCUGCUGCAGGGAGUUCUCCAGGUUAACUAUGCAGUGUGGAGCCUGCAGCCAACUUUGGAUGGCACUAUCCCUCUGUUUCAUGAUGGACGGUAUUUUCCAGUGUCUGAAGCACUUUCACAAAUCUGAUGGUAUAGAAUCAAGUGCCUUCUUCUUUGUCAGAGCUUGUUGCAUGUGUUCUGCUUCCAGCACCAGUGCUGUGGCUUUAAUGCGGUGGUAGCAGAGGCAGUGGCAGGUAUCUGAUUACUGCAGUUGAUUACUGAAGGAAAGAAUAGGUUCUUUUAUAUAAGCUGUCUUAUACCACAGUACAUCUUAUGUUCUGGAAGAGACAGCACCCUUGCUCUUGUGUUCUUCCAUUUUGAGCUCAUUGGGUAGGAAGAUCAGUAAGUCCAGAUUCCUCUUCUCUGUCCUAUUUAUUUGUCUGUAUACCUUUAUCAGCUGCCCCCUUCUAAACGAUUCAGUCUGAAUGAGGAGAUGCAGUACAUGUCUUUUUUCCUACCACAGAGUUGUCUGGGCUGUGCUGAAUCACCUGUGUGUGGCCCACAUCACUGAACUGCUGCUUUAGGGGCCAGCAGACUUGUGGGAACAAAGUGGGAACAAAGCAACGAAAGAAGAGCAAAGGAGUAUCUGUGUGCAAGUGGGUCUGGCUCUUGUGGUCUCAGCGGGGGAGAGGUAAAGAUUGAAAAAGAGAUGGGAGAAACAAAGGAGAGGAGAGCAAAGAGAGGUGAUAGGAUGAGCUCUCACUGCCAUGAGCAGACACUUCUUAGUGUGUUCAGUCUUCAUGUUGGUCAGACAUGGGGAGCUGUGAGCGGCAAGGCUCCAUCACCCCCACUGCUGUGUCCCACCUCAGGGUUCUGCUUAUCCUCUCCAAGUGAGGAGAGUGGAAAGGUUCUUCUGCAGUAGGAGCAAGUGUGAGGACUGGAAGAGAAUGUCAAGGCCUUGGGCUCUCUGUGCAGUGAACAGUGAUUUAAAAUGGAAAAGGUGGGAGAAUUGUAUUAAUCUCUGAAAUCGUUUCACAAAAGCCAGGAAUGAGUUUGGUUCCCCUCAAAGGGACACAGCCUUCUCUGCACAGGUGAGUUUGACUGUGUUUCUCACUGCAGUGACGAGCCUCUUGAUCAGCUUCUCACUCCAUCAUCCUGGGCUCUGGCCACCUGGUAUGCUCAUCCUCUAGCUGCCCAUGUCAGAACCUAAUAGGGUGUUUUCCUAAGAGCAAAACUUGUAGGUCAGUGGGUUUGGGCUGGAGCAGGAAUCUUGGGUUGCUGAACUGCGGCUGAGACUCACUGCAGAGAAUCACUACCAACCCUUGGUGCACGAUGCUACAUGUAAAGUGAAGCAGCACAGAGAGCACUUGAAACAAGAGCAUUUGCAAGCUGUUGCAUUGUGCUGACAGCCAGACUGGGUGGCAAGGGGUUAAUCCUCUAGUGUCUGUUCCUGCUGUGGAGGUGCCUGCACUCAGAUUUGUAGACUGUUUCCCUUUGGCGGUGGCAACAGAGAAGAAGCUAGUGUAGGUAGGGCUCCAUUCACCCUCUGGCAUUCCAGCUACUCGCUGUAUAACCUUGCUUACAGCAGGCCUGUGCCACGCGGCGCUUAAAAUAUCAGUCUGUCAGCGCCUUGUCUGCACAGGGAACAGUUGUGAGGAAUAGACUCAACUGUUGAAGAAACAGGAUUGGGGAGGUCAGGGAAUUCCUCCUUCACAGAAUCCAAAGUGAUUUAUUUUUUUUACUGAGUCCAAUUUUCCCUCCCCUCCUCGUCUGACAGCUUUUUGGGCAAAGAGUGACAAGUAAAGGAGGCAUCUUUAUCCCUUGGGCUGGAUUAGUCACGUUUGUCUCUUUUGGAGCAACAUUUUUCAGCACAGCGGCUUCCGUUUCAGCAGAUCACUUAUAGCCAUUUCUAACAGAACAAACGUCAGUGUCUGCUGAUUAAGAAUUAAUUCAUCUUCUUUUGAAUAAUUUUCCUCCAUUUCUUUUUUCUCCUUUUCAUCAUUCUGCAGACACCUAAGAAGCAAGAAACUCUAGAAGAAUACAGUGAUAUACUGUAUGAGAAUAUCUAAGGGAAAAGCUGACCCUGUGUGGAUCAGACAUCUUCCUGCACAACAGAACUACCUUCUACACCCUCAGUUCUCUGCGAAGACCCAGAGUGACUUCAGGGCACAGACAUGGGGGACUUGUGAACCUUGGGCUCCCUCCAGAUUGCCCUUCAUUAGCAGCAGAAUGCAUCUGUUCAAAUCCCACGGGUGCUCAGACUGUAUUUAUGCAGCAAAGCUAUUUUGCAGCAAAGCUGUUUGAUGCAAAAGAAAAGCUGUUUUUUGUUGAGCAGUCACAUGUAUCUUAAAAAUGGUGCAGAUGGGAUCUGUGCAGGUUUCUCUCACCUGGCCUGGCUGAAAUACUUGAAUACCUUGUGUAAGUGGUAUCACAGCCCACAGACCUCCCUGCUUGCUGGCCUGAUCUUCAAAUCCUGACCUGCAGCAGUGCAUCUGAUCCGGUGCCUAUGGCUUUCCUGACACAGCCAUCAGGCCUUCGUGCAUAGUUUAACAAAGAUCCAAGCAUCCACCUGCCCAUUUUUCCUUUAACCCCACAGUGAAACAUGCUUUCUCAUAAUCUGCUAAUCCCAUCAAAUUGUCACAUAUGCCUGCUGUGACCAUACUCAACUGACUCAAAUCAGUGUCUUGGAGGAAAUGCUUUCCCUUCAGCAAUAUCAGCAGUAUUGGGCGAGGGAUGGAUGCAUGAACAGAGAUAAAAAUGGAGUUGAGGAAGACAGAGAGAAUAUCCGUGCCUGCCAAGAUGUCUCAGAGGCAGUGACCCCUCCAGAACAAGCAAAAGGAAAAGCUGGGAACUGAGGAAACACUCUUGCUGGGUUGUGUAAUCCAAACAGUUGUGGGGUCACAUCCCAGCCCAGAGAAGUUCAAGCUGAUCUCCCCAGUUUGCUGUUCUUUUUGGCAAUGGGCAUUCUUACUGUUCGGGAUUUUGAAUUUCUGUGGGAGGAGGUUUGGUAUCUCUGUCCCACCAAAAUCCAUGGGUUUGCCUUUGUUUCAGCUGGCCAUUUUUUUUCCACAACAAAGAUAGAAGUUUUGUUGUGCUAUGUUUUCUCUUAUAGAUUAUUUGGGAAGAUAGAGCAGUUCUCAAACUUAGAAUGACCAGAGCGAGGAGAGAGACCCUCGUGGUGAAUUUUCUAUCCAAGCUCUUUUCUCUCCUGUCAGCUGGAACUUUCCAAGCCUUUGUGCUGAUGCAUAUUCUAGUUCUGGUAGGGAAAAGGUUACAUUUAAUAUCCAUAUAACACGAUCAAACCAGCGGAUCAAAAAGCUGAGGCUGUUUUAUCUCAGAUUAAAAAACAACAACAAAAUAACAACCAAACAAAACCAACCCAAAAUAAGAAUACGUAGAAUAACUUGAGAGGAAUCAUAGGAACCUCUUUAAAGAAGAAGAUCAAAUUAAAACGGAGCUCCAGGGUCAUAGGACCCUCUCUAGUUGAAGAUAAUGUUGCUAUGCAUCAGAGAUAGAGGCUAUGGAAAAUGUCUCCAGGGCCUCCAACCUUCCUAUACUAUGUUUAAAGAGAUAAUCCGCUUAUUGCUUUGCUCUUUUUAUUAGAAGAGAUUUCAGGCAUGCAAUUUGGACUUUCUUUAACCACAGGAAAACGCUUUUUCUCUUCCCAGAGUUGAGGAAUUCAUUUCUGAAAGAGCAAUAGACAGUGUUUCUCUCUAGACUCGUCUACCAGUUGUUAGGUGAUCGCAAUAAUUAGAAAUAGAAAUGUUGGAACUCGGCAGUUUUGGUAUUUAGUGAUGGGACCUGAAAUAGCGAUUGGGAUAAAAACAUUUCUCAGAAACAACAACAAAACAGGGGACUGUGCAGGUAUAAUCUUUCCUUUCCUUAACAGAUCUGAAGAAAUGAUGAGAUGAAAUAUGAAUACGUUCUGGUGUGGCAAUAAAUUACUCCGAAGAAGCUGGUGGUUGAGAUGAAAAGUGUUAAGCUUUCCAAAUAAUGCUGCUUGUUUGGUUUGGUUUUGCAUGUUUUGCCUUCUAAAUGUUAUACAUACUAAAAAUGACAGUGCUGCAAAUUUCCUGGCAAAGACCUCACUUUGCAGUGAAGUGUUUUGCUUCGCCUUUCCGUUAAAUAGUGUUCCCUCCAUUUAUGUCUGAACAAUUCUAUAUAUUAAGUAGCAGAAGGUGUUUAAAAUGAAACAGAAGAAGAAUGGUAUUUGGAAUAGAAAGACUAUUUCAGAACAGUCAGUGCUCAAGUACUGAACGAAUCCCAACCGGUUCUGAUCAAUCAAGUGAAGAAGUAAAAAUGUCCAAGAAACGCUGAAAGUCUGGGGAUUUGGGCUGUGUGCCAGAGCCUGUCAAAGUCAGGAGGAGUUGCUGUGUUGAUUUCAAUGGGUUUGGGAUUGGUUCUGCCAGGCUAAAAGACUGCUGCUUGAGAAAAAGGAAGCUUGGAAGCCGCGUAGCCUGAAGCGAGUAUCGCUUCUCCAGCGCUGUGCUCUGUGGGCAGCCGCCCAGAGUGUGUGAGAGAGAAAGGCGUAAAGCAAGAGAUGGUGAGAGAAGAGUUGUUUUUAAAUGGUGCAGAGUUUUCCAAGGAGGUAUGAGGAAAUGCCCUCUGGCACGGGUAGGAGAAACCAGUGAAUAUAAUUUAUAUAAUAUUGAUGCUGUUUCUUUAUAGCAAAGGUUUGUUCAGGAAGAAAAAAAAAAAAAGGCAGUCGUUUGCUCUUCUUGUCUGUACGGUCUCUAAGAAUGGAUGCAGAAGAGAUUGUUUUUUAAGUGUGGAACAAUAUAAAUAAUAAUAAUGAAACGUACAAAGGAGAAGCUAAGGAUUAGCUACCCCUGCUCCACACAAGUGAGACUUGAUGACGGACUAUUGUGUUUAUUCCUGAAUUGAAUGCUGAGAAUGGAUUCCUCUCAAAAACGAUGUCCCUGAGGGCCACAGCUCUGCUGGCUUUCCCCAGCGUGGUGCAGUUACACACAGAACAUGCUCUCAGGUUGCAGAGCUGUAAUCUUUGAUUCCCAGGUGGUGGGAAAGCUAAGAGAAAUUACCCCUUUGUAUUGACAGGAUUUCAGGAAGUGGAGAUGUUAUCAAAAUAAGCAGAGGUACAAGGUGGAAAAUGCACUGUUUUCUUGUAAAGGAGGUGUCCUAUUAACACAGGACCCUUUAUCCUCUGUACCAAGAGCAAGCUUUUGCUCCUAAGAUGCAGCUUCUCACUGUGAUGAUCCUCUCCAUGUUGUCUUAGCUGACACUGCUCUAAGUGUGGCAGUUGGUGGCACUGAGGCCAUCCUGUCCCUUUCAAACAAUCCCUUCACAACACUUUCCAGCAAGUCCUACUUUCAGAAGGCAAAAAGCUGAGUGCGUGUGAGUGGUUCACUGCUUUCAUCCUUUUUGGUAGAGAACAAACUCUUGCAUGGGUGCUGUUUUCUGGUAUGAAAUACACCAACCAUGUUUUGCCUUUUAUCUGUAGACAACAAAGAGCUUGUUGUGAUAGGUGACUGAAACAAAAUGCAUGACCAAGGUGUUGUCCAUUGUGUUCUCUUUCACUGCUUCUGUCUUCUGAUCAUCAUCAUCUCUCUUCUCAGGGGUAUCGUUGACAUUAAACACUUCUAUGGUAGGUGUCUGAAGAUCUAGCUUGGGCUGAGUCUUUUUAGAAGAGGAGGAAGUGGAAUGGCUACUGCAGCUCUGUUUGGACCUCUGUCCCACCCAGCAACGCCCAAAGGACCAAGGGCACAAGUCCCUGCUGGGUGGUCUCUCGGCAGAGUCUGUUGUUUCUCCAGUCCUCAGCCAUGCGAGGGCUGUGACCUUGUGCGUCAGGGAUUUAGGGAAGGCGGUGAGUGAAGCCACCAGAUGGUGCCCUAGGUCCUCUCUGCUCCCUCUCCUGUCCCCUGCCUGCCCGCAUGCCCCUGGAGGCCCCCAGCCUCCCGAGGUGGGCACCUGGAGCCACGUAGAGCCGCCCCAGCCAGGGCUGCCUUCUGCCUAUGUAGAUGGUGCCUCUGGCCCAGCACAGCUCUGCACUGCAGCCCAAGGGCCACCACCAGCCCCUGAGACGUGAUGAAGACAGUUCCCCUCCUUUGCACCCAUGACAUAAGUGCAUCUCCUGGAGCUUUGCUUUUCCUUCUGAAAUAUGUGGCUUGUGUUCCAUAGCUCUUGGCCACAUGAAGGUUGAGAUAUACAGCUGGUAGGGCCCGGCAGGUCGGCUCCCCUGCUUUGAGCAGUCAGAAUGUAAUUGCCCAAAUUGGAACAGCAUGAGAAUGGAAAAGCUAACAUAUGGGCUUCUUUGGAACGUGUCUUAAGGUAACCAGUUAGAGCCUCUGUUUUCUAUCCCAUCUGAAAAUCUGUUAGGCCUGCAAUUUGGGGCAAGGAUUUCUGAGUGCUCCCAGGGGUAAUAAUUGUACCCAAAAUACAUGUGCUGCAGUUGCGAGGGAAUUAGCCUUGUAACGCCACCAGCGGUGCUUUAUGCUGACACAUGCCAUUAAAAUCAAAGAUGUCAAGUGUCCUUGCAAGGCUCAGUGUGAUAUUUCAGCUUCAUACAUGAGGAAACGGAGACUCGGGAGGUUAAAUGACUUUUCCAAAAUUGCAGAGGGUCAGAAGUAAAGUCAGGAGCAAGAAUCAGCUUCCUACGUUCUUAUUCAGAUCAGGCUGUCAGGGUGGGAGCCAGUAGCUGGGUAAGCUGGAAUUAUUAAGCUCCUUUCAGAUUUAUAAAGUAUAGGGGAAAAAAGUCUCUUCCUGGGUCUCCAGCACCCGUUUCAGCAGCACUCUUUUUUCAUUGUUGGUUUCUUAUGCAGGUAUUGAUUGGGGCUGCCAUUUGACUGGCUGAGGUCUGCUCACAGGGGUCACCAAGCUGCAGAAGUUACUGCUCUCUCUGAUGGAGGUAUCCACCAUUUUGGCAAUAAGGAGAGCUCGUAAAAGCCAAAUUACCAUGGAAAGCCCAAUUACUUAUGCUGUAAUUCCCCAAAUAAAUGUUUAUGGAGGGGACGUGAUGAGUUACUGCACAUCCAUCUCAGAAGGUCUUAACUGCUGAAGAAUCUCCUGGGCUGGUGGAGGGGGCUUAGGGCAGGCAGAGCAAAUGGCUGUGGCUCAUCACAGCACAAUGCUCAGGGAUGAGAAGAUGGGGAAGCCCUCAGCCCCAGCACAGAGCUUCCCGGGGAAGACAGAGGUGCAAAGAGAGGUGCUGCAAUCAUUCUAUGAAUGGGAAUGCUUGCCAUUCUUUUGAUCAUUCGAAAGAAGCCGCAGCCGCGAUGUGAUGUAAUUCCUGCUUGGCUGGAUUAUUUAUUCAAACAGGGCUGUGCUGUGUAAGCACGUGGCGAAGAGAAAGUAAAACUUCAGCUCAGCUUUUGCUCUCUGGGGAUUUCUGUAGGCUUUCAAACUCACUGAGGUCAAGGCAGGGUCUGAGCCUGGAGCACAGCGGCUCUUCAGAACAGCUCUGUGCAGCCCUGCUCUGCUAGGCAGUGUGAGAAACGCAGCUAUGGGUUCUGGAGAAAUCAGUUUAAUAAGGGAACUGUAGCUCCUCUUCUCCUGCCCAGUAGAUUUAAAAUAAUCUCGCUGCCCAUAAAAAUCAGGUUAGCUAUUUUGGGUUCGUGUAGAGCUAAAAUGAAUGCAGCAUCUCUCAUUUCCAGUCAUGAUAAGUCACUAGAUAUCAAUUCUUAAUUGCUUGAUUAAUCUUGAAUUUUCAGAGCUGACACUGCCUGUCCUACCUCCAGAGAAAAGCUACAUUUAAAAGAAAGAAAAAAACACUUUCCUCUUGAUCAAGACCAAAAAACAAAUGCAAACCUCACAAGCUGCCAUCUACAGAUGCUACAGACUCCUUGGAAGAGGUAGGUGCUGUUAGACAGUCAGAAGUGGGACAUGCCCAAGGCACACUGUCCCCACCUAAUCCCCUCCUGCAGUCACUGCUUCUUGGUCACCUUCCAUGAAUUGGGUGAUGGGAGCUCCUCUGGGAUGCUGUCAUGCAGAUCUGUAGAUUAAUACUUCCUUGGUUUAAUUUCAUUUACAUUGAUAUCAUUUACACUCCCUCAGACAACCCUAAUCAGUCUUUCUCGCUCCCUGGUGUUUCUGCACCCCUGAAGUUCUUGUAUGCAAUUCCCGUGAUGCUCUUCACAGUUGUUAUUUGGCCAACCUACACACACUGUAAUCCCUUCCAGCUUUUUUUUUUUUUUUUAUCAUUUUAUGUUCUUAUUUUUUUAUUUCCCUCCAAGUCGUUGACAUCCAGCUUGUACUGAGCUGUCCAGAUCUAAACAUGUCUUCAAACCAUGGUCUCACCGCUAUAUUAAAAAAUGGGACUAUUGCCUGUAUCUCUGAGAAGAGGUCUCUGCCUUUACAACCCCAAAUUAAAUUAACUGCAUGAUUUUUGCUGCCAUAUAACAUUGCAAAAACAUAUUAAAUCUGCUGUCUACUGUCUCCCUGAGGUCUUCUGGUAUUUCUGCUUUCAGUACUUGAGCACAAAUGAUUCCUCUCUUCACCUCAGUUCCUGCCUUUCAGAAGCUCGCAUGUUGUGCCUCUCAGACACGUGGGAUUGCUCAGGGUUCCUCUCUGAGGAACAGUGGUGUGACUCCUUACAUAGGGGGGAAUGCUUUCUGUGUUUCAGUAUGAAAUAGUUUAUUUCCACUGUUUCCCUCCAAGCUGUCCCAUGACGGUCUGUUCCAAUGCAAACAGAAGAUACAUUACUCCUUUUGGUUUGCAGAUAUUCCUAUCUAUAGCUGUGUCUGUAUGUUAACCUGCCUCAAUCUGCUGGAGCUUUAGGACCACAGGUUGAAAUCUUCCUAUGGGCGCCUCAAUACUCUGAAAUUAACUUCCCAGGGAAAUAAAGUCUAGCACAGAAAUUGCCAUCGUCCUCAUUUUGCUUGGUAUGAAUACAGAGCAACAAGAAUAGAGGAGAAAAAAAAAAAAACCCAAACCAAAACACCAGCUCACAAGACCAAAACACUGCUCUGCACUUCAUUUUCUUCCUGGGCAGGGAACAAGACAAAGAAAACCAACCCCCACGUGUGACAGAUGUUACUUGGAUCAGUUAAUGUAGUCCUAGGCUGUACUCGAAUAUUAUGAUUAUGAAAACAGCAUGAGAAUCGAUACAAAACAAAAUAUGUUUUAUCAUAUUCUGUUUCAUAGAUAAGAGAAUCUGGAAGAAUCAGUUAGAGAAAGCGAGACAGUGUUGUUGUCAUAGCUGUGAUGGUCUGAAGAUCCCAGGGAAGCACGGUUUGUGGAGAAAGGUAAUAUCUUUUAUUAGAUCAGCUGAUAUGGCUGGAAAAAGCAAACAAGCCAUUGGGCUCAGGGUCUCUUUAUCAGAUCUGACAGAAAGCAGCAAAAUUCAGGCUAACUACAGGCUAGAUGCAAUUGUUCUUAGUUUAAUCUAAUUAUAUUAAUCAAUUUGACCACUUGAGAGAGAGAAAAAAAGA